AUUGAACGCUGGCGGCCUGCCUAACACAUGCAAGUCGCACGAGUGGCGGACGGGUGAGUCAUGUCUGGGCACCUGCCUGAUGGAGGGGGAUAACUACUGGAAACGGUAGCUAAUACCGCAUACCAUCAGAUGUGCCCAGAUGGGAUUAGAUAGUAGGUGGGGUAACGGCUCACCUAGGCGACGAUCCCUAGCUGGUCUGAGAGGAGGACCAGCCACACUGGAACUGAGACACGGUCCAGACUCCGACGGGAGGCAGCAGUGGGGAAUAUUGCACAAUGGGCGCAAGCCUGAUGCAGCCAUGCCGCGGGUGUGAAGAAGGCCUUCGGGGUGUAAAGCACUUUCAGCGAGGAGGCGUUACUCGCAGAAGAAGCAACGGCUAACUCCGUGCCAGCCGCCGCGGUAAUUC
rnacentral:rRNA from 1 species